UUAUGUCUGGUAAAUGUGGAAUGCGACGUAUGGACUAUAGAGUUACUUAGACAUGAUUUGGUACCUUAAAAAUAGUGGAGUAAUUUAGUUAGACAUUUAAAAUAGUGAGAGUUAUCAUGUUUAUAGAAUAUGACUAUUUUAUCCUUUUGUACAUUUUAGUUACUUUAUGUUUAAGUUAGGGUAGAUUUGUCAUUUACCCUAGUUUGUCUCUUGUGAUUAGUGGAUUAUUACUAAUCUUUUAUUUUAAUUUUAUGCUAAAGAAAAGAGAGUUAUCUUGUCGAUAACACUUGGAAAACAAAAUAAAAACUCACAAAAAUCAAACAAACUCUUGUCCUUUCUCUCUCUUUGGUUCGGUCACAAGAACACCAAGAAAGACCAAGUAUUUUCUCUACUAUUUUCUGAUCAAGAGUUAGGGAUUUCAGUAGAAUUUCUAGUAGCUAAGGGUUAGAAUCAGCUCAAGGGGCCUGUAAACCGUCGAGCAGCAGUUGCACUCAAGUUGACUGGCACACCUGAAUUCGAAAUUGAGAUUCGAGAUCUCCAUUCGAAGUCCCAUGGUCAAGAUUUGAACUACUGUCACCUCUCUCUCUCUCUUUUAUGUGUAGGUGGAUGGCGUUCAACAAAGCUUCGUAUUCAGGGGUUCUGUGUCAACAAAGCUUGCGGCUUCGUGUUCGUGGUUGUUUGAUUUUGUGUAUAACUGGUUUCAAAUUUUAUUUGUUUGAUAGAAAUUGAUUUUGGUGUUUGUAUUUCUUUUUAACUGGUUUGGGGGUUUGUAUUUAGCCCAUAAAAUGAGAUUGAUUUGUAAUUUUUUGUCCAAAAUGUUUAUAGACACUAUUAAUUCUUAUGAAAAAAUACUUUUUUUUUUUCUAUUUUUUUUGUAAAUCUAAUUUUUUUUUUAAAGUUAUAUAUGUUUUUAAUAAUUAUUGAGUAAUAAUAUUAGUAAAGAAUUAAUAAUUUUAAAAAUAUUUUAUUUAUAAAUUAAAAUAUAAUUUUAACAAAAAGAAAUAAUAUAUAAAUUUUUUUAUUCUAAAAAAUUUAAAAUCCUACUUUCACAUCCAUUAAUGGUGGACUAGAAACAUUUUUCUAGUCCAACAAUGUUGGACUAAAAAAUACCCCUUUUAUGUCCCUUGAUAUUAUGUCCAACACAAAAAUAGACUUGAAAUACUUUUCUAGUCCAACUUUAAUGGACUUUUGUCAAAUUUCUAAAAAUGGUGAUCUAUAGAAUAGAGAAAAAUUUUCAAGAAAAUAAAGCUGAAACUUCAAGUCUAAAUUCAACUAUGUUCUGAUCCGAUUUUUGAAAAAGUCCAAACACAAAAGUUUAAGAUUUUUUUUUUAGCUUUCCAACGUAUCUUGAAAAAUCUAAUUAGGAGUUUAUAUGUGAAUGUUAUGCAUAUUUUACUGAGAAUGUCAAAGCAAAAAAGUGGGUCCAGUGGUUGUGGUGAGGCCGUCAAAGCGAGGAUAUUGGCCGCCGCAGUGCCAACUCCGUACGAUUCAAGGAAAACUUCAUCUUUUCACAUUUUAGGCUGGAAAACUCUAUUUAAUGCAAGGGGAUCGCUCAUUAUAGAGGGAGAGACCAUAUUAAUAGUAUAAACACAAGAAGAAGGCUCUUGGAGCGAGCAUGGGCGAUUCGCGACAAUCCUCCAUCUGAAUGAGAGCCAUUCUAUUCUGCUUGGGGAAUAUUUAAGGAGCUCGGAGAGAGAUGCUAUCCCAAUUUCUCAAGUGGGUGUUUUACUCUAUUCUUUUACAAUGGACUUGAUGAUGAAACCAGAAGCUGGCUUGAUUAUGGAGCAGAGGUAACUGAAGACCCUUUGUUAAGAAGAUGCCAUGAUGUAAUAAAUUUAUUGAAUGAUAUGGCAGAUUUUGAUUACGACUAGCAUUGGGAUCCAUCACUUAAGGUUUGGAGUCACCAAUACUCUCCUUAUAGCCCAAACUCACCCCAACCAAUUGAAGAAAAGAAAAAUAUACUAUCACUUCCAAAAAAGAUUAAUCGCUUGGUGGACAUGGUAUAAGAGCUCGAUGUGAUAAUUUAAUGGCGCAUGAUUCAGAGAGUUUUAAGGAUGAUAACUCAAAUAAUAAAAGUUAUGAAGUUGUUGGAAUAAUAUAGAAGCACAUCAGAUGAAUACAUAGAAGAGAUUCAACCUAUAAUUAAAGAGAAAGAAUCCUUUUGAAGUGGCUGAAAAUUUGCGUACAAUGGAUGCUUUGCUCAACAAAUGAUAAUCUCAAUUGGGUGAUGAAGAAACAUCCAUCCUCAAUUAUGAAGUUAUUGAAGAGCAAAUCACAAUCAAAGAUGUGGAUAGUCAUGGAGAAACUAAACAACCAAUUUAGAGGUUAUUUGAGAAAAGUAAGAAAACAAGUGUCAUUGGUGGCUGAAGAAUAUCACAUAUAGUUGUUGAUUUGAGGUCAUCAAUGUCACUAUAUUAUGAACAACCAAUGGACUUUUAUUUUCCACUAAUACCACAUCCGCCAUAUUGUAUUCUCUACGAGCUACCAACGUUUUUUUUUUCCAA